rnacentral:lncRNA from 1 species
GAGCCUGGGGAUGAGUCAAGGAGGGAGAAAGAGAGGGUACAGCAGUCUUCUGGAUAGACCUGGAAAAGAAGUAGUGCACAGACCAGGAUCCCUGACUUCCUGGAGUGUGAGUAAAUUUAAAUUCUCAAGACAAGGAUCAAACCCAUGGCACAGCAGCAUCAUGGGCCGUUGCAGUGAUAACACCGGAUCCUUAACCCACUGAGCCACAAGGACACGCCACACCUGUCUUUCUUUGUUCAAUUACAUUUAUUUGUGAGCUGUAAAGAUUUAUUUAUUUAUUUAUUUAUUAUUAUUAUUAUUUUUUUGCUAUUUCUUGGGCCGCUCCCGCAGCAUAUGGAGGUUCCCAGGCUAGGGGUCGAAUUGGAGCUAUAGCUGCCAGCCUACACCACAGCCACAGCAACGCUGGAUCAUUAACCCACUGAGCAAGGGCAGGGAUUGAACCCGCAACCUCAUGGUUCCUAGUCGGAUUCGUUAACCACUGCGCCAUAACGGGAACUCCGAGCUGUAAAGAUUUAAAAUCCCACAUUUCACCCAGAAAGUUUGACUGGGACCAGUUCUGGUAAGGUGUUACUUUCAAGAGAAAUCAAAGCCCUAAGUUUACAGAAAACAGCCACUGGUGGAAGGGUCAGUAGUAAACAGAGUGUUAGGAAAGAAUACACAGUGAAUCUAGGAGGAUGAAAAAACCAGGCACAAGUCACAGAGAACGACUUUCUACACAGGCAUAUUAGGAGAGUCUAGCCUGCUGUGAAGAAGCUGACAUGAGAUGCCAGUAAUUGUAGGAUCCCAUCUCUCACAAGAAAAGGGCAUAAUCUGGAUAAAAUAUGCUUUCACACCCUCCUAGAAUCCUGGGCAAAAGCACCCUUAAAAAAACAAGAACAAAAUUCUACUUUCUAGGCAAAAGUUGAACCUGAUGAAUUAAUCUCCCUUUAUUGUAGAAUAGACGAGAGUGGCUUAUAUGCCAGCAUCCUUAAGAGUCUGGAGAAUAUACCCAUUUAAGGAUUGUCUGUCCAAGGAUUAUAUCCAAAUCUUAGUGUUUGGUUUUAUUUCUUAACUUGUAAGUAAUUCAGAUUUGAUUUUCUUCUUUUGGGUUUACUGAAAGUACAAGUAACAAUAACAGUCAUUUAAGUAAGAAGCUUCAGUGCCCCACAGUCAUUUAGCUUUGCCCUGCCCUCUUCCUAUCAUCCAUGUCCAGCCAGAUGGAGAAAAUACCUUGAAGGAUGGUAUUCACAGAAUCCCUCAUUGGCAAAAUUGAAAUAUAGACUCUGUAUUAGAUGACACUAUUAAAUUUGGAUCAGUUGUCUUAGAUGUGAUGAUAUUGUGAUUAUGUAGGUGAAUGUUCUUAUUCUUAAGAUGAGGCAUGGAAUAUUUGGGGUAGAAUUUUCUGAUGUGUGCAACUUACUUUCAAAAAAAUAUAAAUGGCAAGAGAGGAAAAAUAGAGGAGGAGGAGAGAGUUGAGGGACAGGGGAGACAGGGAAAUGCAGCAAGAGUUAAUAAUGAUUUGAUCUCAGUGAAGAAUGUAUGGGUGUUUUUUGUUUUGUUUUGUUUUUGCGGGGGAGGGACUCUUACCUGUGGUAUGUGAAAGUUUCCAGGCUAGGGCUCAAAACUGUUCCAAGGCAAUAACCGGAGCCACUGCAGUGACAACACUGGAUCCUUAACCCACUAAGCCACCAGGAAACUCCUGUAUGAGUGUUAAUUGUACCAAUCUUUGCAUUUUUUGGACAAUUUGAAUUUUUUUUUUUUCUUGGGGCCACACAGGCGGGAUAUGGAGGCUCCCAGGCUAGGGAUAGAAUCAGAGCUACAGCUGCUGGCCUACACCACAGCCACGGCAACAUGGGAUCUGAGCCGCGUCUGCAACCUACUCCACAGCUCGCAGUAACACUGGAUCCUUAACCCACUGAAUGAGGCCAGGGAUCAAAGCUGAGUCCUCAUGGAUACUAGUUAGGUCCAUUAAUCUCUGAACCACGACAGGAACUCUCUGAAAUUUUUCAAAAUAAAUAUUGUGAAAAAAUAUAAAAACAGUAUGUAGGCACAUUUGCUAGGCAUUUGAAACAAGUGGAAACUACUUCAAGGGAGUGGAUAAAAUCAGUGUUUCCUAAACUGUGUUCCCAUUUGUUUAAAAAAAAUAGGAUUUUGUGGUCAAAUUAGUUUGGAAACGCUGCAUAUUAUCUUUUUCAGAUUCAAAGCACUUUCAUUUAUUAAAGAUUUUAAGAAGAACUUAAUACAGGCUUUUUCAAACUUACCUACCUAAAGAACCUUGCACCUAUAUAACGUUAUGCUACAGGACAAUAGAUCUAAAUGCAAUUAAGAGAGCAAUUUAAAACAAUCAUACAGUAAUGUUUUCUAAUAGAAAAUUCUAUUGCUAUUACAUGAAAAUCUAGAAACAAUUAUUUUCUCAGAAGCAGGCUUUGUAUGCACUACAUUAUAUAAAGUACAGGAAGGAAUGACCAAUUAGAGUUGUGGGAGUCAAUGUGACUCUUCAGUGAAAAUGAGGAAUUUAAAAAUAAUGGUAUUAAUCCAUGGGAAAGUCUAACUUGGACAACACAAUUAUACACAUAUCAAGAGGCACAUAUUUUUGAAAUCAAAGUGGGUAUACCUGUUAUUUUCUAAUGUUAAAUAUUUCUAAUCUUAUUGACAUAGACAUGCUAACUUUGUUCUUCCAUACUUUUCUUUCUGCUAUUUUCUUGUACUUCAUUAUUGCCCCCAACUAAAGUUUUGCCUAACUACAAUAAUCACACCCAUUUGGAAAGCAGAGGAAUGAGAGACACAGGGCAAUAAGUGGUUCCAUGAAAGUUCUGCAAUUCUGCAGGUGACAGGACCUCAGCUGAUCAAGUAGACAUCAUCUUGAAUGUUACCAGUCAAUGUACAAGAGGGAAAUGAGAACUCUGGACAUUCUGUUGUCAGUAAAUUCUUCUCUUAAAAGUUGGGGGAGGGGAGAGAAGAGGUAAAUAGGUUGAUAAAAGGAUUGGAUAGAUGGAUGGAUAGGAAGCAGGAUAUUAAAACUGAAGUUUCAGCCAGGACACUAGGAUAAAAUAGAUGUGAAAUUCGAAAGACAGAUUCCCAUAUGUAGAAUUUACAAAGGGAAAUUUCCCAAGACUCUUAGAUCAAGGAUAUAACAAGUAGUGGGAAAAAGAGGUGGUCAGAAUGUGGGAAUGUGGGAGAACUUCCUUGAGGAAUAGAUCUUUAGAGAAGGCUAUGUGGUGAGACAUAUCUUUUCUCACCAAGUAAAGGGGCUUUCAUUAGACUCGAGAAAGCUUAAUACAUGACACUUACAGUUGAGAAUCAUCAUGAACUGGGAUCUGACUCCUCUCUGGAAAGGCAAGAACAGACUUGCUGACUGAUUUCGUGGAGCCAGAAGAAUGUUGCAAGGUUAGAACCAGACUGUACUCCUUAAAGUGUUAGGGCAAAGGUGCAUUUAUUUCCCCAUGGAUAAGAGGAGCUCAUGAAGGAGAGAAAGCCAAUAUGGAGUCAUCUUGGGUCAUGUCCAGUAGGACUGCCUAGAGGGGUGGAGGGACAGCUUUAAGUAGCAGGAUUACUGUGGAAUGAGUCACAGGUCACCAUCUACCUCUGCUGUCAUGAGAAGGGCCCUAGAGGGGAUUUCUGAAGAGCCCAAGAAAGUGACCAAACAGUCCACGUAGAUGUCUGCCAAGGCCUAAGAGCACAUUGCCUCUUCUCUUACACUGCCUUGGAGGGGUCAGAAACUGGCUGCAAACAGGCUGGGAUGAAGCAGAAGGAGCAAAGCCAACCACAGCCCUCUCUUUCAUCUGCAACUGGACCAUCCUGGGCAGAGAAAAGACUUGCAUUUAAGUCAAGUUCCGAAGUUUCUCCCCCAUAUCUCCUGCCACUCUUCUCCAUGAACCUCUUUUGCAGUCAAACUGGGAUACUUGGCAUUCCUAAAAUCAUAGUAUUUCUUCCUUUUCCUGCCUCUGCUAAUGCAAUUUCGUCCCGCUGCAGUUAAUAGUUACAGUUAAGAAGUUACUCUUCUUCCUCUUUGCCUUUUGCCCUACCUGCCCUUGCAUUCUAAUGAUGAUCUUUAUCAAUACUGUCGCAUCUCCUCUACCAUGUUGUCCUGGACCCAGCCCUUUGCCCUUUGCCCUUUCAGUAGGAAGGGGCCAGAUUGUGAGGAGCCUAAACAUUAGAGGAGUUUUGUUGUUCGUGUCUUGGCGCUGCAGAAACAACUCUGACUAGGAACCAUGAGGUUGCAAGUUCGAUCCCUGGCCUUGCUCAGUGGGUUAAGGAUCCGGUGUUGCCAUGAGCCAUGGUGUAGGUCAUAGACUCAGCUCAGAUCUGGUGUUGCUGUGGCUCUGGCGUAGGCCGGGAGCAACAACUCUGAUUAGACCCCUGGCCUGGGAACCUCCAUAUGCCAUGGCUGCAGCCCUAAAAAGACAAAAGACAAAAAAACCAAAAAAAAAAAAAAA